rnacentral:rRNA from 1 species
UACGUAGGGUGCGAGCGUUGUCCGGAAUUAUUGGGCGUAAAGAGCUCGUAGGCGCUUGUCGCGUCGGAUGUGAAAGCCCGGGGCUUAACUCCGGGUCUGCAUUCGAUACGGGCAGGCUAGAGUUCGGUAGGGGAGAUCGGAAUUCCUGGUGUAGCGGUGAAAUGCGCAGAUAUCAGGAAGAACACCAAUGGCGAAGGCAGCUCUCUGGGACGGUACUGACACUGAGACGCGAAAGCGUGGGGAGCGAACAGG